AAAGUCGUAACAAGGUAACCGUAGGUGAACCUGCGGUUGGAUCAUUAAUAAAUUCUAGAGCAAAGAGUUGACUGAGCAAUCAUGAUACCUUUGUUUCUUAACAUUUUGUGAAUCGUUUAUUGUCUCUUGCGGUUGAGGGUUGCUUACUCUCGCCGCAUGUGAAUUUAACAUUGUAAUAUAACCAUUUGUCUUGAAACUUUAAAUCUAUAUAAUUUAAAAACAACUUUUGACAACGGAUCUCUAGGCUCUC
rnacentral:misc_RNA from 1 species